AUACGGAGGGUGCAAGCGUUACUGGGAAUCACUGGGCGUAAAGCGCGCGCAGGCGGUCUUUUAAGUUGGAUGUGAAAGCCUACGGCUCAACCGUAGAACUGCAUCCAAAACUAUUAGACUAGAGUGUGGGAGAGGAAGAUGGAAUUAGUUGUGUAGGGGUAAAAUCCGUAGAGAUAACUAGGAAUACCAAAAGCGAAGGCAAUCUUCUGGAACACUACUGACGCUGAGGCGCGAAAGCGUGGGGAGCAAACAGGAUUAGAUACCCCAGUAGUCC
rnacentral:rRNA from 1 species